rnacentral:rRNA from 1 species
GUUGAUUAUGAUUUCAGGUCUGACCUGCCCAAUGAUAAAUUAAAUGGCUGCAGUAUAUUGACUGUGCAAAGGUAGCAUAAUCAUUAGUUUUUUAAUUGGAAGCUUGUAUGAAAGGUUUGAUGAGAAAAUUACUGUCUCUUAAGAAGUUUAUUAGAAUUUUAUUUUUAAGUGAAAAAGCUUAAAUGGCUAUAGAAGACGAGAAGACCCUAUAGAGUUUUAUAGGUAACUGGAAGCUUUAUUAUGAGGAUGUAUAAUGCUAAGGCUUGUUGGUAUUUAUUUUAUUGGGGUGAUAGGAAAAUUAAUUAAACUUUUCUUUUAUUAUAAUAUUAAUUUAUAGAUAAAUGAUCCUUUGUUUAGAUUAAAAGAAAAAAUUACCUUAGGGAUAACAGCGUAAUCUUUUUUAGAGUUCUUAUCGAAAAAUAGGUUUGCGACCUCGAUGUUGGAUUAAAAUUUACUAUUGGUGUAGGUGCUAAUAAGUUGGGUCUGUUCGACCUUUGAAAUUUUACAUGAUCUGAGUUUAGACCGGCGUGAGCCAGGUCGGUUUCUAUCUA